UUCCGGUUGAUCCUGCGGAGGCCACUGCUAUCGGAGUCCGACUAAGCCAUGCGAGUCCAGGUGCUUCGGCACCGGCGGACGGCUCAGUAACACGUGGACAACCUGCCCUCGGGAGGGGGAUAACCCCGGGAAACUGGGAAUAAACCCCCAUAGGUCAUGGAGGCUGGAAGGCGCCAUGACCGAAAUUCCGCAAGGAGCCCGAGGAUGGGUCUGCGGCCUAUCAGGUUGUAGUGGGGGUAACGGCCCCACUAGCCUACGACGGGUACGGGCCCUGAGAGGGGGAGCCCGGAGAUGGACUCUGAGACACGAGUCCAGGCCCUACGGGGCGCAGCAGGCGCGAAAACUCCGCAAUGCUCGAAAGAGCGACGGGGGGACUCCGAGUGCCUACGCUUUGCGUAGGCUUUUCCCGAGCCUAAAAAGCUCGGGGAAUAAGGGCUGGGUAAGACGGGUGCCAGCCGCCGCGGUAAUACCCGCAGCUCGAGUGGUGGCCGCUUUUAUUGGGCCUAAAGCGUCCGUAGCCGGUCUGGUAAAUGCCUGGGUAAAUCGUAGGGCUUAACCCUACGGCUCCCAGGUAGACUGCCAGACUCGGGACCGGAGGAGGGAGAGGGUACUCCAGGGGUAGGGGUGAAAUCCUGUAAUCCCUGGAGGACCACCGGUGGCGAAGGCGCUCUCCUAGGACGGGUCCGACGGUGAGGGACGAAAGCCAGGGGAGCAAACCGGAUUAGAUACCCGGGUAGUCCUGGCCGUAAACGAUGUGGACUUGGUAUUGGGAUGGCUACGAGCUGUCCCAGUGUCGUAGGGAAGCCGUUAAGUCCACCGCCUGGGGAGUACGGUCGCAAGGCUGAAACUUAAAGGAAUUGGCGGGGGAGCACUGCAACGGGAGGAGCGUGCGGUUUAAUUGGAUCAACGCCGGAAAU
rnacentral:rRNA from 1 species